rnacentral:rRNA from 1 species
UACGAAGGGGGCGAGCGUUGUUCGGAAUUACUGGGCGUAAAGGGCGCGUAGGCGGCCCUCUUUGUCGCGUGUGAAAGCCCCGGGCUCAACCUGGGAACGGCGCGCGAAACGGGGGGGCUGGAGUACGGAAGAGGCGAGUGGAAUUCCUGGUGUAGCGGUGAAAUGCGUAGAGAUCGGGAGGAACACCCGUAGCGAAGGCGGCCGACUGGACCACACCUGACGCUGAGGCGCGAAGGCCAGGGGAGCGAACGGG